GAUGAACGCUGGCGGCGUGCUUAACACAUGCAAGUCGAACGAAGCACUUUUAAUUCUUCGGAAGAGGAAGUGACUGAGUGGCGGACGGGUGAGUAACGCGUGGGUAACCUGCCUUAUACAGGGGGAUAACAGGUAGAAAUGACUGCUAAUACCGCAUAAGCCGAUAGAGUCGCAUGACUUAGUCGGAAAAGAUUUAUCGGUAUAAGAUGGACCCGCGUCUGAUUAGCUAGUUGGUGAGGUAAUGGCCCACCAAGGCGACGAUCAGUAGCCGGCUUGAGAGAGUGAACGGCCACAUUGGGACUGAGACACGGCCCAAACUCCUACGGGAGGCAGCAGUGGUGAAUAUUGCACAAUGGGGGAAACCCUGAUGCAGCAACGCCGCGUGAAGGAAGAAGUAUUUCGGUAUGUAAACUUCUAUCAGCAGGGAAGAAAAUGACGGUACCUGAUUAAGAAGCCCCGGCUAACUACGUGCCAGCAGCCGCAGUAA
rnacentral:rRNA from 1 species